rnacentral:tRNA from 1 species
GGUUGUGGCUCAGUGGUAGAGCACUUGCCUGGCAUGUGUGAGGCACUGGGUUCAAUCCCCAGCACCA